UGGGGAAUAUUGGACAAUGGGCGCAAGCCUGAUCCAGCCAUGCCGCGUGAGUGAUGAAGGCCCUAGGGUUGUAAAGCUCUUUCACCGGUGAAGAUAAUGACGGUAACCGGAGAAGAAGCCCCGGCUAACUUCGUGCCAGCAGCCGCGGUAAUACGAAGGGGGCUAGCGUUGUUCGGAUUUACUGGGCGUAAAGCGCACGUAGGCGGACUUUUAAGUCAGGGGUGAAAUCCCGGGGCUCAACCCCCGAACUGCCUUUGAUACUGGAAGUCUUGAGUAUGGUAGAGGUGAGUGGACUUCCGAGUGUAGAGGUGACAUUCGUAGAUAUUCGGAGGAACACCAGUGGCGAAGGCGGCUCACUGGACCAUUACUGACGCUGAGGUGCGAAAGCGUGGGGAGCAAACAGG
rnacentral:rRNA from 1 species